AGAAUCAACGCUGGCGGCGUGCCUAACACAUGCAAGUCGAACGAGAAAGGGGAGCAAUCCCUGAGUAAAGUGGCGACCGGGUGAGUAACACGUGACUAACCUACCCUCGAGUGUGGAAUAACAUCGGGAAACCGAUGCUAAUACCGCAUAACAUCGGCGCUUUUAAGAGAUGCCGAUCAAAGGAGCAAUCCGCUUGAGGAGGGGGUCGCGGCUGAUUAGCUAGUUGGCGGGGUAACGGCCCACCAAGGCGAAGAUCGGUAGCCGGCCUGAGAGGGCGCACGGCCACACUGGAACUGAAACACGGUCCAGACUCCUACGGAGGCAGCAGUGGGGAAUUUUGCGCAAUGGGGAACCCUGACGCAGCAACGCCGCGUGGAGGAUGAAGCCCGUUUGGGCGUUAAACUCCUUUCGACCAAGACGAUAAUGACGGUACUGGUGGAAGAAGCACCGGCUAACUCUGCGCCAGCACGCCGC
rnacentral:rRNA from 1 species